UACGGAGGGUGCGAGCGUUGUCCGGAAUCACUGGGCGUAAAGGGCGCGUAGGCGGCCUGAUAAGUAGGGGGUGAAAUCCUGCGGCUUAACCGCAGGGCUGCCUUCUAAACUGUCAGGCUAGAGCACAGUAGAGGCAGGUGGAAUUCCCGGUGUAGCGGUGGAAUGCGUAGAUAUCUGGAGGAACACCGGUGGCGAAGGCGGCAUCCUGGACCGGUAUUGGACGCUGAGGAGCGAAAGCCAGGGGAAGCAAAGCGGGG
rnacentral:rRNA from 1 species